GAUGAACGCUGGCGGCGUGCCUAAUACAUGCAAGUCGAGCGAACAGACGAGGAGCUUGCUCCUCUGACGUUAGCGGCGGACGGGUGAGUAACACGUGGAUAACCUACCUAUAAGACUGGGAUAACUUCGGGAAACCGGAGCUAAUACCGGAUAAUAUAUUGAACCGCAUGGUUCAAUAGUGAAAGACGGUUUUGCUGUCACUUAUAGAUGGAUCCGCGCCGCAUUAGCUAGUUGGUAAGGUAACGGCUUACCAAGGCAACGAUGCGUAGCCGACCUGAGAGGGGGAUCGGCCACACUGGAACUGAGACACGGGCCAGACUCCUAAGGGAGGCAGCAGGAGGGAAUCUUCCGGAAUGGGCGAAAGCCUGACGGAGCAACGCCGCGGGAGGGAUGAAGGUCUUCGGAUCGGAAAAAUUUGUUAAUAGGGAAGAACAAAUGGGGAAGUAACUAUGCACGGCUUGACGGUACCUAAUCAGAAAGCCACGGCUAAAUACGUG
rnacentral:rRNA from 1 species